AGCGAACGCUGGCGGCAGGCCUAACACAUGCAAGUCGAACGGAGUGGCGGACGGGUGAGUAACACGUGGGAACGUGCCCUUUGGUUCGGAACAACUCAGGGAAACUUGAGCUAAUACCGGAUGCCAUUGGAGCGGCCCGCGUCUGAUUAGCUAGUUGGUGAGGCAAAGGCUCACCAAGGCGACGAUCAGUAGCUGGUCUGGGAGGCUGAUCAGCCACAUUGGGACUGAGGCACGGCCCAAACUCCUACGGGAGGCAGCAGUGGGGAAUCUUGCGCAAGGGGCGAAAGCCUGGCGCAGCCAUGCCGCGUGAAUGAUGAAGGUCUUAGGAUUGUAAAAUUCUGUCACCGGGGACGCGGUACCCGGAGAAGAAGCCCCGGCUAACUUCGGGCCAGCAGCCGCGGUAAUUC
rnacentral:rRNA from 1 species